rnacentral:rRNA from 1 species
UACAGAGGGUGCAAGCGUUAAUCGGAAUUACUGGGCGUAAAGCGUGUGUAGGUGGUUGGAUAAGUUAGAUGUGAAAUCCCCGGGCUUAACCUGGGCAUUGCGUUUAAGACUGUUUAACUAGAGUACUGUAGAGGAUAGUGGAAUUUCCAGUGUAGCGGUGAAAUGCGUAGAUAUUGGAAGGAACACCAGUGGCGAAGGCGGCAUCCUGGACCAAUUCUGACGCUGAGUGAGCGAAAGCCAGGGGAGCAAACGGG